rnacentral:rRNA from 1 species
AGCAGUGGGGAAUAUUGGACAAUGGGCGAAAGCCUGAUCCAGCCAUGCCGCGUGUGUGAAGAAGGUCUUCGGAUUGUAAAGCACUUUAAGUUGGGAGGAAGGGCAGUAAAUUAAUACUUUGCUGUUUUGACGUUAACGACAGAAUAAGCACCGGCUAACUCUGUGCCAGCAGCCGCGGUAAUACAGAGGGUGCAAGCGUUAAUCGGAAUUACUGGGCGUAAAGCGCGCGUAGGUGGUUCGUUAAGUUGGAUGUGAAAUCCCCGGGCUCAACCUGGGAACUGCAUUCAAAACUGACGAGCUAGAGUAUGGUAGAGGGUGGUGGAAUUUCCUGUGUAGCGGUGAAAUGCGUAGAUAUAGGAAGGAACACCAGUGGCGAAGGCGACCACCUGGACUGAUACUGACACUGAGG